UGGAAUGAGGUUGCUGCGUCGACAAUUA
rnacentral:sRNA from 1 species